UGACAGAAACCAAAAUAGAGGUAUAUCACUGUUAAUGAUAGUAUUGAAUAUAUUAUUCCUGUCAAG
rnacentral:tRNA from 1 species